rnacentral:lncRNA from 1 species
AAAUCCUAAUGUUGCAAGAUAAAAAAUGAACUGAAUACCUCGCAACUAGAUAAAGGUGCAUUGCAGCCUGCUAGACCUAUCAGUAAUACUUACAACAUGCCUCCUCGGAUCAUGUACUCUAAAGAUGCAACGUCUUUCGUUUCAUCUAUUCUAUUAAAUAUAAAUUGAACUCAAACAAUCACAGUGAAUGGAAAAUAUCCUUGAAAAAAUAUGAUGCAGAUUCACACAAAAUUGGGAAGAAAAGGAUAGCUAUUAAGGAAUUAAAAAGACAAACACAAUUGCUGUUACAAAUAUCAUAAUGAAACUACCAAAGUAUAACUUUUAAUUAAAAUUAAAACAAAUGUAAUAGUGAACCAAUUCCACCAACCAUCUUUUACAAAUAUGAAAGGAAAUAAAAAUUAGAUGGUCGAUUUACUCUUACAAAAGACCUCUAGCAAUCAUUUCACGAUGAAGUUUCACCGCCUUCUCAUUCUUGCCAUUUUUUGACAAAGCAUGAAUAAGAGUUGUGUAAGUUAUGCCGUUAGGGGUGCAACCGUUAUCUUCCAUUUUUGACAUUAAGGACAAUGCUUCAUCAAGCAAGCCCUCUUUACAAAGCCCGUCAAACAUAACAGUAUACAUCCUGACAUCAAAACGGUAGCCUUUAAUCAAAAUAUCCUCAUAAAUCUCUAGUGCAUCCUUAAGUCUUCGAUUUUGGCACAGUCCAACGACAAGUAUAGUGUAUGUAUACAUAUCUAGCUGAAUUCCUUGGUCUUUGAUCUUUGCUAAUAAUUCAAUUGCUUUGUCAACCUGAUGGCUUUUGCACAAAGCAUCUAAUAUAGAAUUGUAAGUGAUCACAUUAGCACGUAGACCUCUAUCAUGCAUCUCAUCAAGAAGAUCCCAAACAUCAGAGAUUCUCCCCGAUUUGCAAAGCCCAUCAAUAAGCGAACUGUAUGUUAUAGUAUCAGGAGAGAUGUUUUUUAAAUACAUUUCUUUGAAGAGAUUCACGGCUUCAUCCACCAUUUUAUUCUUGCAAAAUCCAUUAAUCAUGACAUUGUAACUAUAAAUAUUAGGUUUCACUUCCGUUUGAGCAAUAGUGUUGAAUACAUACGUGGCCUUGUUCACUUCUUUAACCAAAAAAUAUCCAUCAAUUAAACAAGUAUAAGUAACAACAUCUGGCUUCACACCUUGUUUUAUCAUAACAGCUAAGACAACUAUAGCUUUUCUCACCUCUCGUUCCUUAGAUAAAGCAUUAAUCAGUGUAGUGAAAAUAAGAAUAUCCGGGCUGAUGUUUUUCAACAACAUUUCAUUUAACAAACAAAUAGCUUCUUUAGAUUGACCGACAAUGCAAAGGCCAUAUAUUAAAUUAGUGUAAGUGACAACAUCAGGAUAAAUAUUCUUGACAAUCAUUUCAGAAUAUAAAUGAAAAGCAUCACUCACAAGUUUAUCCUUGCAAAGACUAUUAAUGACUAUACUGUACAUUACCACGUUUGGUUUAACCAUUAAGUAUAUGUUUGGUUUCAAUUCUGGAGCAUCCAGAAUUGAUUCUGGACGUGUAGAAUUGAUUCUGACUUGUUUGGUUUCUCAAAAGUAGAAUUGAUUCUGCCUCCAGAAUUGAUUCUACUUGAAGCUAGAAAUCGUAGCUUCUGAUUCUAGAAUUGAUUUUUACACUCGAAUUUUUUGUUCAACUCACUUUUUCAUGAAUAUAUCCAAACAUAAACCACUUCAGCUUAAAAUCAAUUUUGGCCAGAAUCAAUUUUACAGAAUCAAUUCUGCCAAAAUCAAUUCUCUCCGCCGCAGAACCANNNNNNNNNNNNNNAUCAAGAUUCCAUAACUAACUUGAUCAAGCUUAAACCCCUUGGAUAUAACGUCGUCAUGAAAACCCAAUGCUUCUUUAACCUGACCACUAAGACACAUGCCUUUCAUAAGUGCAGUCAUUGUUAUCAUAUCAGGCUCAUAACCUAGCUUGAGAAUUUUUGCCAAUACAGAAAAUCCAAAAUCUAGUUGAGCUAGUUGGCAGAAACAAUUGAGUAAGAUGUUCAAAGUAUGAAAAUUAGGUUGAAUUCCUUUGAGUUCCAUUUGAUUAGAGAGGGAAAUAACAAUGUGAAACUGCUUCUUUCUAACAAGGGAACCUAACAUCUUACUGAACGAAGAAUCAUCAGCAGCAUCAACAUUAACAACAGGAUUGAAUGAAGAAACAGCAGCAUCAACAUCAACAAGUAGAUUAUGAUGUAAUUGGAAAUUGGAAGACACAAACUGUUGGGAAUUGGAAUGAGCAUGAGAGUAAAAACGUCGACGAUUGAAUUUGUUGGAAGGAGAAAGAGUGAUAGCAGAAGCAGCACCGUUACUUAACACUGAAAAUGACAUUCUAACAGUUGAGAGUGAAGAAUGAGAUGUUGCGUUGCGACUGUGGUAGUGAUUCGGUUUUAUGUUGCUGCAACAGCAACUCAGUUUUGGAUAAGAUUGAUAAUCCUCUGCAGUCAAAAUCUCUCAAGUGCUCUUUACUGCUCUAUUUUCAGCCACUUGAUUAAAUCAAACGGCACAAAUAUAAACCGAAAAAAUAAAAAAAUAAAAAAACUGAAAAAAGUAAUGGUGAAACGGAAGUAAUUAACAGACACGACGGCAUCAUCGUGGCUGACGAUGGCAGCGACUACUCCGGUUGAUUUUGCAGAAGUGGCGGAGAAGGCUCUCUUUUGAAUUGAUUCCACUGCUUACUGUAAUUGGUGCAACGGAAGCGGCUGUGACUUCUUUUAUCUAAUUUAAUCUAUAUAAGAAUAUUAGUUGGCAUAACUAUAAACUACUCUCGGUUAAAUUGUUGCCACGCCAUGUGUCAUAAAUAAGAGUAAUUGAUGUCCCAAAAUUUAAUAACGGAACUAAAAGUACAUAUCAUUUCUGAUGGAAUCAAGUCAUAUGAGCCAUUUUUUUAGUUUGUGAGUGAAAAAGUGUUUUAUCAAACUAGUUUUUACAUUGUAACUAAGUCUGCCACAUUUUGCACUUUUUGAGUGAAAAUUCGGUUUGUGGAACUAAAUCGUCUAAGCCAUGUGAAUAAGUCACUUUCAAACUUUUUUGGGUUCCAAAUGUCUCAAAUCAAAUUUCAAAUAUCUUUUAUUCAAAUUUCUACUUUCUUUCUCAAACUCACGUUCUUCCUUUAAAUCUUACAUUUCUCUCUCUCUUCCUACCCUAAAUUUUAAUUAAUAUAUAAAUUUUAACUAUCGUAUACGGGAUAAAUUAUCACCGAUAAAAAAUUUAAAAUAAAUAUCAUUUGUGAGACAAAUUAUAACUAAUAAAAAUUUCAAAAAAAACUAAUUGACACGGGAUAAGUUUUAACUGAUAUAUAAAUUUAACUAUCUUAUACGGGAUAAAUUAUUACUGAUAAAAUAUUCAAAGUACUUAUCAUAUGUGACACAAGUUAUUACUAAUAAAAAUUAAAAAAAAAUAAAUAAAUCAAAAAAACUAUUUUAUACGGGUUAAGUUCUAACUAAUGUAAAUUUCAAACUAACUAUGAUAUAUGGGGCAAUUGUAAUUGAUAAAAUUUUUAAAAUAAUUAUCNNNNNNNNNNNNNNNNNNNNNNNNNNNNNNNNNNNNNNNNNNNNNNUUUAAAAAAAAAAAAAAAACUAUCUUAUACGGGAUAAGUUCUGACUUAUAUAAAUUUCAAAUUAAAUAUCAUAUACGAGACAAUUUCUAACUGAUAAAAAUUUCAAAAUGAUUAUCAAAUAUAUGAGACAGAUUCUUGCUAUUAAAAAAUUUAACAUUUUUGGUAUCCAAAAUAACUAUCAUACCUGGGGCAAAUUAUACUACUAAAUUUCAAAUAUCUUUUGCAACUUUACCUUUGGUCAAACAUAUUUUUGGUGAAAUUUUUUCUAGAUAGAUAAAAUGGUAAAAUUAGAAUAAACCUUCAAUUUGAUCCUUAAAUUAAUGAUAUAUCUUUAAUUUAGUUUUCAAACUAUCAAAAUAUACUAAACAAUCCCUAAAUUAUUGUUAAUACAUCAAUUUAACCCCUCAAUUCUUUUAAAAACAUGUGAGAAAAUCAUAGUUUAAGGACCAAAAUGAUGGAUUAUUAACAGUUUAAGGAUCAUUUAAUAUAUUUUUAUAGUGUAAGGAGGACCAUUAAAGAGAGAUUGAUGGUUCUCGAACUAAAUUGAAUGUUUAUUCGAUAAAAUUAUUAUAAAGUGAUACACAUAAUGACUACUUUAGUGAGGGAAUCGAAGUUUAAACCUUAGUCAUAACAUUCUCUUUAAUAAUUUGGAUAUUUUUUGUCAGUUAAAUUAGAAUAUGUGGACAUUUUUUAAUCAUGUAAUUAUUCAAAAUAGGUAAUCAAUAUAUUAUUUCAGACCAAUUGUCUCUGAAAAAAAAAGAAACAAAAUGCUAAGUUUGAAAAUUCUUUUUUGACAAUUGUUAAGAUUGAAAAUUGAAAUCUAUAUAUUAUAUGAAAAUGAGUGUAGGAGAGUAGUGCUAUUUAGCACAACUUUAACCAACGAAAUUUAACUAUACAAAAUUGUAUAUGGAGAAUCAAUGAAAGAAAAAAAAAUUGUAUAUGGAGAAAUUCUAUGUUCAAAUGUACACGUAAAUUAAGUCAAUAAAUUAAUUAAUAAAUGAUAAUUUACUCUAUUAGUCUUAGUUAGUAGUCCCCCGUUCUAAAACUUUGAUUUUUUAGAGUUUUGCACAUGCAUUAAGAAAUAAGAGUUAAAUAUGUUUUUAAUUUUUAUAAAUAUCUCAAAUGAAGGAAAAUCAACGAAGAAAAGAAGGCUCAAGGAAGGAGAUAGACAUCACAGAGUAAGGCUGGAGAAACAAUAAUAAUCUUCCUUAAAAUUUAAAAUGCAUUAUGGAAAUAAAACAUAUACAGGUGUUCAAGUCUACAAAUCUAAUGCAUUAGGUAAGAAGAGAUAUUGUCUCAACAAUGAAGUCAUUCCUUCACUGCAUCAGCUACUCAAAAACACAACAUAACCAGGUUUCGCACAGCAUCUAAGGCCUCUACGCAUCGCCACUAUAGCAGCCACAAAUGUCAACAUAAUAAAUAAGUCAUGAAACCUACCUAGUAUUAGGUAAAAAUUGUUGGGAAAAACCGGCAUAGAGAAAAUAAAAGAACGCAAUCAACAACACAAGNNNNNNNNNNNNNNNNNNNNNNNNNNNNNNNNNNNNNNNNNNNNNNNNNNNNNNNNNNNNNNNNNNNNNNNNNNNNNNNNNNNNNNNNNNNNNNNNNNNNNNNNNNNNNNNNNNNNNNNNNNNNNNNNNNNNNNNNNNNNNNNNNNNNNNNNNNUAUGAUGACAGAUACAAUAAUUGUAAAUAUCAAAGCUCACAACAAUGCUAGAUGAAGUUUGACACACUAUAAAGUAUUAAAAAAUCAAACUAGAAUAAUAGAAAAGUUCUGAAGUAGUGAAGUCAUAAAUGUAUAACAAAUUAUUAGCAAGGUACAAAGAGGAAGACAAUGAAUUGCAACAAUUCAUCUGAAAAUCCUGUGGAAUUCGUACAUCUUAAUAAACCGGCUUUCUAGCAUCACCUUUGGUCAAUUUUUCUCUCAAUUAUAAGCUCAAGUCUUGAAAUGGGUUGAGUGAAUGCAAGCUUGCUCCAGCAACCCUUUUUGACCAGGAAAAUGACUUGAUUUAUGUUCCGCUACCCUUUCCGGCCGGGAAAAUGAAAAACUGGUGUAUGCCAAUCUUGCUCUGGCAGUUGGAGUUUAAAUGCAUCUAAUCCUAAAGUUGCAAGACCAAAAAUGAACGAAAUACCUCGCAACUAGCUAAAGGUGCAGCCUACUAAACACAAACCAUUGUUUAUGGGGUCUAAUAUUUGGACCUGGUCCUCUGCAGCAUAUGCAGAGAUGGUAGAUCAACUCUACCAUAGCUGCUCGACAGUAGAUGAAUGAACUGUAGAGGGUCUCCAUUAUCUACAAAUUGCUUCAUGUGUGUCAGCUAUACUCUUUUAUUUACAUUGUAAUUACCCUUCCAUAUUCUGCAAUAUAACAGUGUUACAACAUCUUUCAUUUCAUUGAAUUUAUUAAAUAUAGAUUGAAAUUUAACAAUGCCAGUGAAACACAAUUGUCGUUACUAAGGAACAAAAAAAGUCAAACACAAUUGCUGUUAUAAAUAUCAUUUUGAAACUACCAAAGUAUAACUUUUAAUUAAGAUUAAAACAAAUGUAAUAGUGGGUCAAUUGCACUAACCUUUUUCUUUAUAACUAGGAAAAGAAAUAAAGAUUAGAUGGUAGUUUUCAAAUUCAAAAUAAUAAAUUGUAACUUGAAAGCAUCUCACCUAGUUUCGCUCUUAUAAAAGAGCUCUAGCAAUCAUUUUACGAUGAAGUUUCACUCACCGCCUUCUCAUUCUUGUCGUUUUUCAACAAAGCACGAAUAAGAGUGAAUGCAACCUUGAAAUGGGUUGAGUGAAUGCAAGCUUGCUCCAGCAACCCUUUUUGACCGGGAAAAUGACUUGAUUUAUGUUACGCUACCCUUUCAGACCGGAAUAAUGAAAAACUGGUGUAUAAGAUCCUGAUAAACCACUUGUGCAUCCUUAAGUUUUCCAUUUCUGCAUAGUCCAUCAACAAGUACAGUGUAUGUAUACAUAUCUAGCUGAAUUCCUUGGUCAUUGAUCUUCGCAAAUAAUUCAAUCGCCUUGUCAAACUGAUGGUUUUUGCACAAUCAAUCCAAUAUAGAAGUGUAGGUGAUCACAUCAGCAGGUUGGCGUCUAUCAUGCAUCUCAUCAAGAAGGUACCAAACAUUAGAGAUUCUCCCCGAUUUGCAAAGUCCGUCAAUAAGUGAAUUGUAUGUUACAGUAUCAGGAAACUUGUUUUUUAAAUACAUUUCUUUGAAGAGAUUCAUGGCUUCAUCCACCAUUUUAUUCUUGCAUAAUCCAUUUAUCAUGACAAUGUAGCUACAAACACUAGGAACCACUCCCCUUUGAGCAAGAGUGUUGAACACAUAUUUGGCCAUGUUCACUUCAUUAACCAAGAAAUACCCCUCCAUUAAAGAAUUAUAAGUAACAACAUCCGGUUUCACACCUUGUUUUAUCAUAACAGCCAAGACAUUUGUAGCUUUUCUGACCUCUCCUUCCUUAGAUAAACCAUCAAUCAGUAUAGUAAAAGUAAGAACAUCCGGGCUGAUGUUUUUCAACAACAUUUCAUUUAACAAACCAACAGCUUCUUUGAAUUGACCCA